rnacentral:misc_RNA from 1 species
UGAAAAUCUAUAAUAUACGUGACAUAAACUAUAUAUUUUCAGUACUAGCAGUGAAUACCGGAACAUAGCCAAUAGCAUAACCAAUAUAAUUUCCAGAAUACAAAUAAUUUUAUCUUUGUUAUUUCUUACAUUAUUAGUAUAAUCAACAAAGAGAGAGAAAGAAAAACAGAGCCUAUGACAUCAGCAGAACAUUUCAUUAGUCUUAUAACAGUAACAAGUGCAAAGAAAUUAGCUACUGCACUUGUUGUCUGUUUUAUUAUUUAUCAUGGAGUCAUAUAUCUCAUUUAUGGUAGUGAUUCUUGCAAAUGGUUAUUAACAGAAGGUAGAUAUAAAGGAGAUAAAGAAUGGCAACCUUAUGGAUGUAUGAUGCACCAUUAUACACAAACAGACAGCAGAAGAUGUAUGCGGUAUCUAGCUUUCAUGGGUCACCGUAAUCAUUUUGUAUUCAUUGGUGAUGCUAGAGUAAGACAAUUGUAUAAGUCCUUUGUCUCACAAUUUAUUGUUGAUGGCAAAGCAUCAGAUCUUAUAGAAUUACCUGAGAACUCAGAUUUGGGCUUUAAUGAUGGACAACUUAAGUUAAAUGUACAAUUCUUAUGGAGACCACAACUUGAUAAUUCUAUGAUAAUGGAUCUUAGAGGCUGGAUGAAUACAGAUGCACCAAGUAUAAUUGUUGCUGGUUCUGCUGCAGCUGUGAUUCUGAUGAACAAUAACAGUGAUACGCAACUUUAUUCAGAAUACAGCACUGGUUUGAUCCGGUUAGUACAGCCAGUAGAUUUCUUGGCUAAGAAGGGAUCACAAUUUCUGUGGAUGUUACAAGAUCCUGUGCUCAAAGAAAGACUGCCUUCACAAUUAUCAAGUUUGGAUAACAAACAAAUCAAUUCGUGUAACAAAGCAGCAGAGAAGAUACUGUCCCAUAGUGAGGCUUAUAUAUGGCAAAGCAGUAAACUAGUAGGUACAGGUGUCCUUGAACAAAGUCCAGAUGGCUAUUUAGCAAGUCCAUUAUCACUUCGUCAUAAAAUACAGAUAUUAUUAAACACAUAUUGCAAUGACCAUAUGAAUUUUGAUGAUGGCAGUUGUUGCAGCUAUCCUGAACCAGCAACCACUUUGCAACUACUAAGUCUGUCUGCACUUGCAUUAUGUAUAACAAUAGGAGGAGCAGUGGGAUUAUACAGAAAAUUUUGCAAAUAUCGUUCGGAAAUGUUCUAUUCUCAUGUUAGUAUGGAAGAAACAGAAGAUGCAGAGGAAGAAGGUGCUUCAGAAGUCACUCAAGUUAAACAGUCUGAAAUGCAAGAUUUGUAUACUCUCAUCAUGUCAUUGGCUCUUUUCUCGAUUAUACUAGCAUAUUUUUACUUAUGUGACAGAACAAAUUUUUUCAUGAAGGAAAAUAAAUAUUAUAGCGAAUUCAGCUUUUGGUUACCACUUGGGUAUAUCUUGGCCCUUGGAUUAUUUUUCACCGAAGAUCGUGAAAGAGGACCAAGUGCAUUAAAUAGAGAACAAACAGAUGAAUGGAGAGGUUUGAUGCAAGCGGUUGUACUCAUAUAUCAUGUUACUGGUGCCAAAAACGUUUUACCCAUUUACAUGUACUUAAGAUUAAUUAACUCAGCUUACUUAUUUUUGUCUGGAUACGGGCACUUUUGUUAUUUUUGGCAAACUGGUGAUGUAUCUCUUGUCAGAUUUGCUAGAGUCAUGUUCAGACUAAAUUUAUUGACAGUAUCACUAUGCCUUUGUAUGAAUAGACCAUAUCAAUUCUAUCACUUUGUACCGUUGGUAUCGUUUUGGUUUUUAGUUAUUUACUUUCUGACUUGGUUGCCACCCAGAAUAUAUUCAGGAAGUUUGGCAGAAUAUGGUCCGAGAGUCUUGCUGUACUUUGCUCUGAAGCUUUUGGGACUUGUGUCGAUAAUCACCAUAUUAUACAUGUCAGAGUGCAGGUGUUCUUUGAGAAAGUUUUCGUCACGAGGCCAUGGAAGGCAUUAUUCGUGACGACCGAUGACGAUAUUCGCGAAUGGUGGUCUCGCUGGAGAGUCGAUAGAUACAGCGUGGCUUGGGGCUUGACUUUCGGAGCUGGUCUUGUAGCUCUUCAAAGAAUAGAUCACAUUCCGGAUUAUAGGAUAUAUCGCUCUACGAAACGCAUCGUUGGCAUUACGUGGAAAACAUUCCGCACUUUUAGCUGGAUUAGGUAGAAUAAGUUUGGAAACUUUAGUUGCACAGGGUCACAUAUGGCUGGCGGCAGAUUCGCACGGAGUGCUCGUAUUGUUACCGAG